CCUACGGGAGGCAGCAGUAAGGAAUAUUGGUCAAUGGACGAAAGUCUGAACCAGCCAUGCCGCGUGAAGGAUUAAGGCCCUCUGGGUUGUAAACUUCUUUUAUCUGGGACGAAAAAAGGGUAUUCUUACUCACUUGACGGUACCAGAGGAAUAAGCACCGGCUAACUCCGUGCCAGCAGCCGCGGUAAUACGGAGGGUGCAAGCGUUAUCCGGAUUUACUGGGUUUAAAGGGUGCGUAGGUGGGUUUGUAAGUCAGUGGUGAAAUCUCCGAGCUUAACUCGGAAACUGCCAUUGAUACUAUAGAUCUUGAAUUAUCUGGAGGUAAGCGGAAUAUGUCAUGUAGCGGUGAAAUGCUUAGAUAUGACAUAGAACACCAAUUGCGAAGGCAGCUUACUACGGAUAUAUUGACACUGAGGCACGAAAGCGUGGGGAUCAAACAGGAUUAGAUACCCUGGUAGUCCACGCCCUAAACGAUGGAUACUCGACAUCAGCGAUACACUGUUGGUGUCUGAGCGAAAGCAUUAAGUAUCCCACCUGGGAAGUACGAUCGCAAGAUUGAAACUCAAAGGAAUUGACGGNUGAGACGNGCGACGACGACGACGAGGGAGGAGG
rnacentral:rRNA from 1 species